GUUCUUUUGCUAGUGCAGAGGACUGUUUUUCCAAAAAAUGUCACUGGCUUUGUCCACAGUGAGCUGGCAGAGGGUGGGCCACCUCAGUGGGGUUCCAUCACUGUGUCUGCAUCCUCCUGACUGGCUGCUCUCUGCAGCAGACGCACCCAUGCCUGACCAGUGCUGCUGAAGAGCUGUUCCGCUCCUUGCUAGAAGCACACGGUCUGCUAGACUUUCACCAAAGCCAAGAAACACUCAUGGAACAACCAGUUUGUUGAUUUCAAUGGAGUUCAGGGCUCAUCCCCAGGUCAAACCUCUCCUGUCUCCAACCCACCAGCAGCUCUGCGGCUCCCUCUGCAAACCCCGCUUCACUGCGUCUCUCUCCUCCUUGGCUGCCCUGAACCUGGGUUUGGCACACUGAGCUAUGACACAGCCUUACCAAGCCGAGAAUGGACUCAUCAUCUUUAAAGGGGAGUGAACACAACUUCAAUAUGCUACAGAGACAGUAUGCCUUGUACGGAAAAAGCUUGAGGACUCACAUGACCCUUUCUUGCUGAGAGCCUCAGCCGAGUCGGAAUGGCCCCUGGCAUUUUGCCAGAAGUAAUGGUUGAUGAUUAAGAUGAUGCUGGAUUGAUUCAAUUGUAUAUUAGACCUUUACUGUCCACCUCAGGCGCCUGCUACUUUGGAGUUCUCGGGAGGACUGCCUGGGGA
rnacentral:lncRNA from 1 species